UACGUAGGGUGCAAGCGUUGUCCGGAAUUAUUGGGCGUAAAGAGCUCGUAGGCGGUUCGUCACGUCGGCUGUGAAAUCCCGAGGCUCAACCUCGGGUCUGCAGUCGAUACGGGCGGACUGGAGUACUGCAGGGGAGACUGGAAUUCCUGGUGUAGCGGUGAAAUGCGCAGAUAUCAGGAGGAACACCGGUGGCGAAGGCGGGUCUCUGGGCAGUAACUGACGCUGAGGAGCGAAAGCAUGGGGGAGCGAACAGG
rnacentral:rRNA from 1 species